GAUGAACGCUCGCUACAGGCUUAACACAUGCAAGUCGAGGGGAAACGACAUCGAAAGCUUGCUUUUGAUGGGCGUCGACCGGCGCACGGGUGAGUAACGCGUAUCCAACCUACCCAUCACUUUGGGAUAACCUUGCGAAAGUAAGACUAAUACCCAAUGAUAUCUCUAGAAGACAUCUGAAAGAGAUUAAAGAUUUAUCGGUGAUGGAUGGGGAUGCGUCUGAUUAGCUUGUUGGCGGGGUAACGGCCCACCAAGGCAACGAUCAGUAGGGGUUCUGAGAGGAAGGUCCCCCACAUUGGAACUGAGACACGGUCCAAACUCCUACGGGAGGCAGCAGUGAGGAAUAUUGGUCAAUGGGCGAGAGCCUGAACCAGCCAAGUAGCGUGCAGGAAGACGGCCCUAUGGGUUGUAAACUGCUUUUAUAAGGGAAUAAAGUGAGAGUCGUGACUCUUUUUGUAUGUACCUUAUGAAUAAGGACCGGCUAAUUCCGUG
rnacentral:rRNA from 1 species